GAUGGUAGAGCUUAGUGGUAGAGUGCGUGCAUGCUAGCACGAGGUCCUGAGUUCAAUCCCCAGUACCUCCA
rnacentral:tRNA from 1 species